rnacentral:tRNA from 1 species
GGGUAUAUAGCUCAGCAGCACAGUGCCUGCCUGGCAAGCACAAGGUCCUGAGUUUGAUCCCCGGUAUUCCCC